rnacentral:rRNA from 1 species
UACGGAGGGUGCAAGCGUUAAUCGGAAUUACUGGGCGUAAAGCGCACGCAGGUGGCUGAGUCAGUCGAUUGUGAAAGCCCUGGGCUUAACCUGGGAAUUGCAGUCGAUACUACUCAGCUAGAGUAUGGGAGAGGGUAGUGGAAUUCCCGGUGUAGCGGUGGAAUGCGUAGAGAUCGGGAAGAACAUCAGUGGCGAAGGCGGCCUGCUGGGCUGUUGCUGACGCUGAGGCGCGACAGCGUGGGUAGCAACAGG